UAGUGCUAAAUACAUGUUUACUAUUUAUUGGUACUCUCAUUUUACAGAGAAGUAUCUUGCCUCAAGUACACAGCAAGUGGUAGAAACAAGAUUUCCAAACCACGUUUGAAAAUUCCCAAGACUCUGCCUUUUCCUUCUUUUGUCCUUUUUUGUUCUGUUUUGUUUUAAACUGUUUCCUGUACAGCAGGGGGCGAGGAGGAUGUGUAAUCCCCAGGUCAGUGGUUGAACGCAAGCCAGAAGACCUCUAUUUUCAUUUUGUCCUCUGACCGGUCCCCAGCCUCUACCAACGCCCGGCGCCUUGCAAGCUGCUCUACAGUACUCGAUGAAUUAAUGAGACCAGGUUUCCAAGCGUUGAUAUCUGCUAAGUAGCUUCGUGGCCGCCCGCAAGAUCUUUCUUAUUGUUCCUAGGAAGAACUCUGGGCACAAUAAUGAAUGCAAUGUACGGGAUGAUGGCUCAAAUCUUAAGAUCUCAUCUGAUAAAUGCCUCAGUGAUUCCUAGUCGAGUGAAAAUGCUUCCAUAUCUUGGCGUCAUUAGAAAUAGAAUGAUGUUGACCUAUAAAUCCAAAAAGGAGAUCAAAGAAUAUUAUAGGCUGCUGAAUCUGAAUGAAGGAUGCUCUGCAGAUGAUGUCAGGGAGUCUUUUCGUAAGUUGGCCAAGCAAUACCAUCCAGACAGUGGCUCUAAUACCGCUGAUUCUGCAACAUUUAUAAAGAUCGAAGAAGCUUAUAGAAGGGUGCUUUCCUCCGUGAUAGAACAAACAAAUGCCAGACAGAGUAAAGUUGAAGCAGAAGAAGAAGAAGAAAAAUUCAAAUAUAAAACACCCCAACACCGGCAUUAUUUAAGUUUUGAAGGUAUUGGUUUUGGGACUCCAAGUCAACGAGAGAAGCAAUAUAGGCAAUUUAGGGCAGACCGUGCAACAGAGCAAGUGAUGGAAUAUCAAAAGCAGAAACUACACAGCCAGUAUUUCACUGAUAGUCUAACUGUUAAAGAUGUAAAACAGAGCAAAGAACAAAAGAUAACUCAAGCAAUAGAGCGUUUAGUGGAGGACCUCAUUCAGGAAUCAAUGGCAAAAGGAGACUUUGACAAUCUCAGUGGGAAAGGAAAACCUCUAAAAAAGUUUUCUGGCUGUUCAUAUAUUGAUCCCAUGACUCACAACCUGAACAGAAUAUUGAUAGAUAAUGGAUACCAACCAGAAUGGAUCCUAAUGCAAAAGGAAAUAAAGGAUACUAUUGAGCAACUCAGAGAGGGAAUUUUAGUGUCUAGGAAAAAACUUGGGAAUCCAAUGACACCAACUGAACAGAAACAGUGGAAACAAGUUUGUGAGCAGUUUCAGGAAAACAUCAGAAAACUAAACAAGCGAAUUAAUGAUUUUAAUUUAAUUGUUCCCAUCCUGACCAGGCAAAAAGUCCAUUUUGAUGCACAGAAAGAAAUUAUCAGAGCCCAGAAAAUAUAUGAAACUCUUAUAGAAACAAAAGUCACAGAUAAAAACCCAAAUAACAUUGAUCAAGGUGAAGGAGAGGAAACACCUGGAGUCAAGACAGGUUUUUUUAACUGGAUGAAUCUGUGGAAGUUCAUUAAAAUAUGACCAUUUUGGUGUUCUGUAUCACAGUGCUGCCCCAAAUCCUUUUCAGUGGAACUGUCAUCAAACAUAGAGGCAGAGAUUUAGUGCUAUUCCAUCAGAAUUUGAGAACUAUCUUUCAGUGUGGACAAAGCCAGUUGCCAUGUCUUGAGGCAACCCUGGAGAGGCCCAUGUGGCAAAAUACUGAGGCCUCUAGCCAAUGGCCAUGUGAAUGAGCUUUAUUGGAAGAAGAACCUCCAGCCCCAGUCAAGCCUUCAGAUGACUAUAGCCCUGGCUGACAACUUGACUACAAGCUCAUGAGAGACCCUGUACCAGAACAGCCCACUUAAGCUGCUCCCAGACACCCAACCCUUUGAAACUGUGUGAGAUAAUAAAUGAAUGCUUGAUGU